CUUUCCAAGAGUGGGCUU
rnacentral:siRNA from 1 species